AGAACGUAGCGAAAUGCGAUACUUGGUGUGAAUUGCAGAAUCCCGCGAACCAUCGAGUUUUUGAACGCAAGUUGCGCCCGAGGCCACCCGGCCGAGGGCACGCCUGCCUGGGCGUCACGCCUCACGUCGCUCCGCCUACCUCGCCCUGAGCACCCCGUGCUCUUACGGCGGCGGGCGGCGG
rnacentral:rRNA from 1 species